AGUUUGAUUCUGGCUCAGAUUGAACGCUGGCGGGAUGCUUUACAUGCAAGUCGAACGGCAGCACGGACUUCGGUCACGGUGGCGAGUGGCGAACGGGUGAGUAAUGUAUCGGAACGUGCCUAGUAGCGGGGGAUAACUACGCGAAAGCGUAGCUAAUACCACAUACGCCCUUCGAGGAAAGCGGGGACCUUCGGGCCUCGCGCACUAUUGAAGCGGCCGAUAUCAGUUAGCUAGUUGGUGGGGUAACGGCUCACAAGAGGCGACGAUCCGUAGCUGGUUUGAGAGGACGACCAGCCACACUGGGACUGAGACACGGCCCAGACUCCUACGGGAGGCAGCAGUGGGAAUUUUGGACAAUGGGGAAACCUGAUCCAGCCAACCCGCGUGUGCGAUGAAGGCCUUCGGGUUGUAAAGCACUUUUGGCAGAAGAAACGGCACGGGAUAGCCACCCCGUGCAACUGACGGUACCUACCCAGAAUAAGCACCGGCUAACUACGUGCCAGCAGCCGCGGUGUACGUAAGUGCAAGCGUUAAUCGGAAUUACUGGGCGUAAAGCGUGUGCAGGCGGUUCCGGAAGAAGAUGCUUGAAAUCCCAGAGCUUAACUUUGGAACUGCAUUUCCAACUUCCGAGCUAGAGUGUGUCAGAGGAGGAGGUGGAAUUCCGCGUGUAGCAGUGAAAUGCGUAGAUAUGCGGAGGAACACCGAUAGCGAAAAACAGCCUCCUGGGAUAACACUGACGCUCAUGCACGAAAGCGUGGGGCGGCCGGGAUUAGAUACCCUGGUAGUCCACACCCUAAGCUUGAUGUCAACUAGCUGUUGGGGCCUUCGGGCCUUGGUAGCCCAGCAACAGCAGUGAAGUUGACCGCCUGGGAAAUUACGGUCAUAAGAUUAAAACUCAAAGAAAGGAAUUGACGGGGACCCGCACAAGAAGCGGUGGAUGAUGUGGAUUAAUUCAGUACAACGAAAAACCUUACUGUAACCAUAUCUGGAAUCCCGAAGAGAUUUGGGAGUGCUCGCAAAGGAACCGGAACACAGGUGCUGCAUGGCUGUCGUCAGCUCGUGUCGUGAGAUGUUGGGUUAAGUCCCGCAACGAGCGCAACCCUUAAUCAUUAGUUGCUACGAAAGGGCACUCUAAUGAGACUGCCGGUGACAAACCGGAGGAGAGGUGAGGAUGACGUCAAGUCCUCAUGGCCCUUAUGGGUAGGGCUUCACGUCAUACAAUGGUCGGGACGGAGGUCGCCAACCCGCGAGGGAGCCAAUCCCAGAAACCCGAUCGUAGUCCGGAUCGCAGUCUGCAACUCGACUGCGUGAAGUGGAAGAUCGCCGUAAUCGCGGAUCAACG
rnacentral:rRNA from 1 species